GACGUAGGGGGCCAGCGUUGUUCGGAAUUACUGGGUGUAAAGGGUUCGUAGGCGGUGUGGCAAGUCGGGAGUGAAAUCUCUGGGCUCAACUCAGAGACUGCUUCCGAAACUGCUGUGCUGGAGUGUGGGAGAGGCGCGUGGAACUGCAGGUGUAGCGGUGAAAUGCGUAGAUAUCUGCAGGAACACCCGUGGCGAAAGCGGCGCGCUGGACCACUACUGACGCUGAGGAACGAAAGCUAGGGGAGCAAACAGG
rnacentral:rRNA from 1 species